GAUGAGAGCCUGCGGGGGCAGAGGUUCGACCCGAGCGAAGCGAGAGAACGUUGCUUCAGCAAUGGCCCGCAGGAUGAGCCACGCAGAGGCGAGUCAUC
rnacentral:sRNA from 1 species